AGUGAACGCUGGCGGUAGGCCUAACACAUGCAAGUCGAACGGCAGCACAGUAAGAGCUUGCUCUUACGGGUGGCGAGUGGCGGACGGGUGAGGAAUACAUCGGAAUCUACUUUUUCGUGGGGGAUAACGUAGGGAAACUUACGCUAAUCCCGCAUACGACCUACGGGUGAAAGCAGGGGAUCUUCGGACCUUGCGCGAUUGAAUGGGCCGAUGUCGGAUUAGCUAGUUGGCGGGGUAAAGGCCCACCAAGGCGACGAUCCGUAGCUGGUCUGAGAGGAUGAUCAGCCACACUGGAACUGAGACACGGUCCAGACUCCUACGGGAGGCAGCAGUGGGGAAUAUUGGACAAUGGGCGCAAGCCUGAUCCAGCCAUACCGCGUGGGUGAAGAAGGCCUUCGGGUUGUAAAGCCCUUUUGUUGGGAAAGAAAAGCAGCAGGUUAAUACCCCGCUGUUCUGACGGUACCCAAAGAAUAAGCACCGGCUAACUUCGUG
rnacentral:rRNA from 1 species